UGGGGAAUAUUGCACAAUGGAGGGAACUCUGAUGCAGCGACGCCGCGUGAACGAAGAAGGCUUUCGAGUCGUAAAGCUCUUUUAUAUGGGAAGAUAAUGACGGUACCAUAAGAAAAAGCCCCGGCUAACUACGUGCCAGCAGCCGCGGUAAUACGUAGGGGGCUAGCGUUGUCCGGAAUCACUGGGCGUAAAGGGUUCGCAGGCGGAAAUGCAAGUCAGGUGUAAAAGGCAGUAGCUUAACUACUGUAAGCAUUUGAAACUGCAUAUCUUGAGAAGAGUAGAGGUAAGUGGAAUUUUUAGUGUAGCGGUGAAAUGCGUAGAUAUUAAAAAGAAUACCGGUGACGAAGGCGACUUACUGGGCUCAUUCUGACGCUGAGGAACGAAAGCGUGGGUAGCAAACAGG
rnacentral:rRNA from 1 species